rnacentral:lncRNA from 1 species
AUUUUUACAUGAUAGCUAUUAAUAUUAUUAUUAAGCACAUUAAUUUAAGAUAACGUGUCCAAUUAACUUCAGGGAAAAAUUGACUGACUUAACCCUGAUUAUAACCCAACAGAUAUGGAGCUGCUGCUGCUGCUGCUAAGUCGCUUCAGUUGUGUCUGACUCUGUGCGACCCCAUAGACAGCAGCCCACCAGGCUUCCCCGUCUCUGGGACUCUCCAGGCAAGACCACUGGAGUGGUUUGCCAUUGCCUUCUCCGAGAUAUGGAGCAGUGGUUCUCUAAAGAAAAAAACCUUUGUGAACCCUCAAAGGCCUUGUAAAUUUGUGCUCAGAUUCCAUCUUAAAAUAACUUCAAAAUUAAUGGCUGUGACUGGCAUGUGA